rnacentral:rRNA from 1 species
UACGGGGGGGGCAAGCGUUGUUCGGAAUUACUGGGCGUAAAGGGCUCGUAGGCGGCCAACUAAGUCAGACGUGAAAUCCCUCGGCUUAACCGGGGAACUGCAUCUGAUACUGGAUGGCUUGAGUUCGGGAGAGGGAUGUGGAAUUCCAGGUGUAGCGGUGAAAUGUGUAGAGAUCGGGAGGAACACCGGUGGCGAAGGCGGGUCUCUGGGCAAUUCCUGACGCUGAGGCGCGAAAGCGUGGGGAGCAAACGGG